CCUACGGGUGGCAGCAGUGGGGAAUAUUGCUCAAUGGGGGAAACCCUGAAGCAGCGACGCCGCGUGAAGGAUGAAGGUUCUCGGUUUGUAAAGCUCUUUUUGUAGAGAAGAAAAUGACGGUACCUGACUAAUAAGCCCCGGCUAACUCCGGGCCAGCAGCCGCGGUAAUACGGAGGGGGCAAGCGUUAUCCGGAUUUACUGGGCGUAAAGGGAGCGUAGACGGGUUGGCAAGUCAGAUGUGAAAGGCUGUGGCUUAACCAUAGAACUGCAUUUGAAACUGUUAUUCUAGAGUAUGGGAGAGGCAGGCGGAAUUCGUGGUGUAGCGGUAAAAUGCGUAGAGAUCAAGAGGAACACCGAUUGCGAAGGCGGCCUGCUAGAACAUGACUGACGUUGAUGCUCGAAAGCGUGGGGAGCAAACAGGAUUAGAUACCCGAGUAGUC
rnacentral:rRNA from 1 species